rnacentral:rRNA from 1 species
UACGGAGGGAGCUAGCGUUGUUCGGAAAUACUGGGCGUAAAGCGCACGUAGGCGGCGCAGCAAGUCAGGGGUGAAAUCCCGGGGCUCAACCCCGGAACUGCCUCUGAAACUGCAGUGCUAGAAUCUUGGAGAGGCGAGUGGAAUUCCGAGUGUAGAGGUGAAAUUCGUAGAUAUUCGGAGGAACACCAGUGGCGAAGGCGACUCGCUGGACAAGUAUUGACGCUGAGGUGCGAAAGCGUGGGGAGCAAACAGG